UGGGGGAUAUUGCACAAUGGAGGAAACUCUGAUGCAGCAACGCCGCGUGAGGGAAGAAGGUCUUCGGAUUGUAAACCUAAGUAGUCAGGGACGAAAGAAAUGACGGUACCUGAAGAGUAAGCUCCGGCUAACUACGUGCCAGCAGCCGCGGUAAUACGUAGGGAGCGAGCGUUGUCCGGAUUUACUGGGUGUAAAGGGUGCGUAGGCGGGCUUGCAAGUCAGACGUGAAAUACCGGGGCUCAACUCCGGGGCUGCGUUUGAAACUGCAGGUCUUGAGUGAAGUAGAGGCAGGCGGAAUUCCUAGUGUAGCGGUGAAAUGCGUAGAUAUUAGGAGGAACACCAGUGGCGAAGGCGGCCUGCUGGGCUUUAACUGACGCUGAGGCACGAAAGCAUGGGGAGCAAACAGG
rnacentral:rRNA from 1 species